GCCUGGGUGGCUCAGUCAGUUGAGCAUCUGACUUCAGCUCAGGUCAUGAUCUCACAGCUCGUGAGUUUGAGCCCCGUGUCAGGCU
rfam:Felis catus isolate Cinnamon breed Abyssinian chromosome C2, whole genome shotgun sequence.